GCGUGUAGCAGUGAAAUGCGUAGAUAUGCGGAGGAACACCGAUGGCGAAGGCAGCCCCCUGGGAUGACACUGACGCUCAUGCACGAAAGCGUGGGGAGCAAACAGGAUUAGAUACCCUGGUAGUCCACGCCCUAAACGAUGUCAACUAGCUGUUGGGGCCUUCGGGCCUUGGUAGCGCAGCUAACGCGUGAAGUUGACCGCCUGGGGAGUACGGUCGCAAGAUUAAAACUCAAAGGAAUUGACGGGGACCCGCACAAGCGGUGGAUGAUGUGGAUUGAUUCGAUGCAACGCGAAAAACCUUACCUACCCUUGACAUGUCUGGAAUCCCGAAGAGAUUUGGGAGUGCUCGCAAGAGAACUGGAACACAGGUGCUGCAUGGCUGUCGUCAGCU
rnacentral:rRNA from 1 species